rnacentral:rRNA from 1 species
AAUAGAUACCCAGGUAGCCCACCCCGUAAACGUUGGGAACUAGUUGUGGGGACCAUUCCACGGUUUCCGUGACGCAGCUAACGCAUUAAGUUCCCCGCCUGGGGAGUACGGCCGCAAGGCUAAAACUCAAAGGAAUUGACGGGGACCCGCACAAGCGGCGGAGCAUGCGGAUUAAUUCGAUGCAACGCGAAGAACCUUACCAAGGCUUGACAUAUACGAGAACGGGCCAGAAAUGGUCAACUCUUUGGACACUCGUAAACAGGUGGUGCAUGGUUGUCGUCAGCUCGUGUCGUGAGAUGUUGGGUUAAGUCCCGCAACGAGCGCAACCCUCGUUCUAUGUUGCCAGCACGUAAUGGUGGGAACUCAUGGGAUACUGCCGGGGUCAACUCGGAGGAAGGUGGGGAUGACGUCAAAUCAUCAUGCCCCUUAUGUCUUGGGCUUCACGCAUGCUACAAUGGCCGGUACAAAGGGCUGCAAUACCGUAAGGUGAGCGAAUCCCAAAAAGCCGGUCCCAGUUCGGAUUGAGGUCUGCAACUCGACCUCA